rnacentral:rRNA from 1 species
AGAGUUUGAUCCUGGCUCAGGAUGAACGCUGGCGGCAUGCCUAAUACAUGCAAGUCGAACGAGAGGAAGGAGAGCUUGCUUUCCUGAAUCUAGUGGCGAACGGGUGAGUAACACGUAGGUAACCUGCCCAUGUGCCCGGGAUAACUUCUGGAAACGGAUGCUAAAACCGGAUAGGUAGCAGACAAGCAUUUGACUGCUAUUAAAGUGGCUAAGGCCAUGAACAUGGAUGGACCUGCGGUGCAUUAGCUAGUUGGUGAGGUAACGGCCCACCAAGGCGACGAUGCAUAGCCGGCCUGAGAGGGCGGACGGCCACAUUGGGACUGAGACACGGCCCAAACUCCUACGGGAGGCAGCAGUAGGGAAUUUUCGUCAAUGGGGGGAACCCUGAACGAGCAAUGCCGCGUGAGUGAGGAAGGUCUUCGGAUCGUAAAGCUCUGUUGUAAGAGAAAAACGACAUUCAUAGGGAAUGAUGAGUGAGUGAUGGUAUCUUACCAGAAAGUCACGGCUAACUACGUGCCAGCAGCCGCGGUAAUACGUAGGUGGCGAGCGUUAUCCGGAAUGAUUGGGCGUAAAGGGUGCGUAGGUGGCAGAUCAAGUCUGGAGUAAAAGGUAUGGGCUCAACCCGUACUGGCUCUGGAAACUGAUCAGCUAGAGAACAGAAGAGGGCGGCGGAACUCCAUGUGUAGCGGUAAAAUGCGUAGAUAUAUGGAAGAACACCGGUGGCGAAGGCGGCCGUCUGGUCUGGAUUCUGACACUGAAGCACGAAAGCGUGGGGAGCAAAUAGGAUUAGAUACCCUAGUAGUCCACGCCGUAAACGAUGAGAACUAGGUGUUGGGGGAAUAACUCAGUGCCGCAGUUAACGCAGUAAGUUCUCCGCCUGGGGAGUAUGCACGCAAGUGUGAAACUCAAAGGAAUUGACGGGGGCCCGCACAAGCGGUGGAGUAUGUGGUUUAAUUCGAAGCAACGCGAAGAACCUUACCAGGCCUUGACAUCCCUUGCAGAGGUAUAGAGAUAUAUCCGAGGUUACCAAGGAGACAGGUGGUGCAUGGUUGUCGUCAGCUCGUGUCGUGAGAUGUUGGGUUAAGUCCCGCAACGAGCGCAACCCUUGUGAUAUGUUACUAACAUUGAGUUGAGGACUCAUAUCAGACUGCCGGUGAUAAACCGGAGGAAGGUGGGGAUGACGUCAAAUCAUCAUGCCCCUUAUGGCCU